rnacentral:ribozyme from 1 species
AAAAUAAAAUAAAAUAAAUUAAAAUAUUCCACAUAUUGAUAGGGCUCUACACUCCUCGUCAUGGAACGUCUUUGUUUUAUUUCAUUUUAUUCAU